UACAGAGGUCUCAAGCGUUGUUCGGAUUCAUUGGGCGUAAAGGGUGCGUAGGUGGCGCUGUAAGUCGGGUGUGAAAUUUCGGAGCUUAACUCCGAAACUGCAUUCGAUACUGCGGUGCUUGAGGACUGGAGAGGAGACUGGAAUUUGAUGGUGUAGCAGUGAAAUGCGUAGAGAUCAUAAGGAAGACCAGUGGCGAAGGCGGGUCGUCUGGACAGUUCCUGACACUGAGGCACGAAGGCCAGGGGAGCAAACGGGAUUAGAACCGCCU
rnacentral:rRNA from 1 species